UCCCCGUUUCACAGGGCAGUCUAGCUAGAUAAAUGCAACUAACUAUAAGGGUUGCGCUCGUUGAUGGACUUAACCAAACAUCUCACGACACGAGCUGACGACGGCCAUGCAUCACCUGUCACUUGGCUCAAUAAAGCACACUUUCCUUUCGGAAAGCUUCCAAGGAUGUCAAACCUGGGUAAGGUUCUUCGCUUACCAUCGAAUUAAACAACACGCUCCACCGCUUGUGCGGGUCCCCGUCAAUUCCUUUAUGUUUUAGUCUUGCGACCGUACUCCACAGGCGGGAUGCUUAACGCGUUAGCUUCGCUACUACGCGGGUCGAUACGCAUAACAGCUAGCAUCCAUCGUUUACGGCGUGGACUA
rnacentral:misc_RNA from 1 species